GAGUUUGAUCAUGGCUCAGGAUGAACGCUAGCGGCAGGCCUAAUACAUGCAAGUCGAGGGGCAUCGGGAGUAGCAAUACUUGCCGGCGACCGGCGCACGGGUGCGUAACACGUAUGCAAUCUACCUGUAACUGGGGGAUAGCCCGAAGAAAUUCGGAUUAAUACCCCAUAACAUAAUGAAGUGGCAUCACUUUAUUAUUAAAGAAUUUCGGUUACAGAUGAGCAUGCGUCCGAUUAGCUAGUUGGUGAGGUAACGGCUCACCAAGGCGACGAUCGGUAGGGGUACUGAGAGGUUACACCCCCACACUGGUACUGAGACACGGUCCAGACUCCUACGGGAGGCAGCAGUGGGGAAUAUUGGACAAUGGGCGCAAGCCUGAUCCAGCAAUGCCGCGUGUGUGAAGAAGGCCUGCGGGUUGUAAAGCACUUUGAGUGGGAAAGAAGGCCCCGGGAUUAAUACUUUCGGGGAUUGACGUUACCCACAGAACAAGCACCGGCUAACUCCGUGCCAGCAGCCGCGGUAAUACGGAGGGUGCGAGCGUUAAUCGGAAUUACUGGGCGUAAAGCGCACGUAGGCGGCCCGUUAAGUCAGCCGUGAAAGCCCCGGGCUCAACCUGGGAACGGCGGUUGAUACUGGCGGGCUAGAGUGUGGCAGAGGGUGGCGGAAUUUCCGGUGUAGCAGUGAAAUGCGUAGAGAUCGGAAGGAACACCAGUGGCGAAGGCGGCCAUCUGGGCCAACACUGACGCUGAGGAGCGAAAGCGUGGGGAGCAAACAGGAUUAGAUACCCUGGUAGUCCACGCCGUAAACGAUGAGAACUAGCCGUCGGGCCCAAUCGAGGGUUUGGUGGCGCAGCUAACGCGAUAAGUUCUCCGCCUGGGGAGUACGGCCGCAAGGUUA
rnacentral:rRNA from 1 species